UACGUAGGGGGGCUAGCGUUGUCCGGAAUCAUUGGGCGUAAAGCGCGCGUAGGCGGCCCGGUAAGUCCGCUGUGAAAGUCCAGGGCUCAACCCUGGAAAGCCGGUGGAUACUGCCGGGCUAGAGUCCGGAAGAGGCGAGUGGAAUUCCUGGUGUAGCGGUGGAAUGCGCAGAUAUCAGGAGGAACACCGAUGGCGAAAGGCAGCUCGCUGGGGACGGUAUGAGCUGAGGCGCGAAAGCGUGGGGGAGCAACGG
rnacentral:rRNA from 1 species